UACGGGGGGAGCAAGCGUUGUUCGGAUUUACUGGGCGUAAAGGGCGCGUAGGCGGUCGUGACAAGUCACUUGUGAAAUCUCCGGGCUUAACUCGGAACGGUCAAGUGAUACUGUCGGACUAGAGUACAGAAGGGGCAACUGGAAUUCUCGGUGUAGCGGUGAAAUGCGUAGAUAUCGAGAGGAACACCUGCGGCGAAAGCGGCUCACUGGACCACAACUGACGCUGAGGCGCGAAAGCUAGGGGAGCAAACAGG
rnacentral:rRNA from 1 species